rfam:Takifugu rubripes genomic scaffold, scaffold_708
CCAACGGCUCUUUUAAGAGCCACCCACUGACCCCUAACCAGCGACU